UAAUUAUUUUCUUGGCCUGUGUUUCUGUUUCUAUUUUUUUCUUUUGGCACAUUUUUCAAUUAUUAUUUUGACUUAACUAAUCUUAUAUUAGUUUCUGUCUUUGAAAGGGAAAGAGUGGAGCAUAGAAAAAUUGGAUGGUGGCCUGCCUCACAAAGAAGAAGAGAAUAUAAUGCAACAAUCUGAAUACAGAGUAUCCACUAUGAAAACAGAUAUAAACAGCAAAAGUGAUGUACAGUUUGGCAGGAAUCAGUCAGUCUGUGGAUGUUGACUUCAUAACUCUCUACCAGACUGUACAGUGUAAGGAUGGAGAGCAGUAGUUGACAUGGAAUUCAGGAUAUAGAACAAUUUCCCUAUUUCCUACAUAUUUGAGAGCAGUCUGUUACCCAUGGAAGAGUCCAGUGAACCGAGUCCAGUGA